AUUAUUUUUUUUUUUUUUUGGUCUUUUUUUCGGAGCUGGGGACCGAACCCAGGGCCUUGUGCUUCCUAGGCAAGCGCUCUACCACUGAGCUAAAUCCCCAGCCCCUUCUUAUUUUUUUUAAUAGAAAGAUCAUUUUUAAUUCUAAAUUUUUUGAGGGGCUUGUAUGUGAGUACAAGUCCAAGAUGUUGGAUCCCCAGAAGCUGGAGUUAUAAGCAAUUGUGAGUCAGGUGGCAUAGGUAUGAGGAACUGAACACAUGUAUUUUGCAAGAGCAGUUAAUGCUCUUAACUAGUAAGCCAUCUCUCCAGGCCAUGUUAUUUUGUUUCGUUUUGUUUUGUUUGAAACAGUGUCUUUCUAUGUAACCCUGGUUGGUUAGAACUCUCUAUGCAGAUCAAGCUGGCCUGGAACUCACAGAGAUCUGCCUGUCUCUGCAUCCCAAGUGCUGGGAUUAAAGGUGUGCACCAACAAGCCCAGCCCUGUUUUGUUUUUAAGACAGUUUCUAGUAGCCCAGACUAACCUCCACCUCACUGUGAUGAUGACCCUUGAAUGCCUGAUCCUCCUUCCUCUUUCUACCUUCCUAUUUUAAAAAUCCUUUCUGUUUCGUUCCUCUAGACAACACUGAUUAAUACACUAGGCAAGCACUCCAACAACACCAAGACACACUGCCCAGCCUUUUAAAAAAAAUUAAUAGAUUCCAAAGAUGCACCAGAUAGGAAGGGUGUGUGACACAAGAUUUCGACAAUCCACCUAAUGAGUACUUGGCAUAAAAUAGAGUACUUUACUUUUUAUUUUUUAAUUUUUUGAGAUAGAGAUGCAGCCCUGGAACUCUCUACAUAGACCACACUUGCCUCAAAUUCAAGAGAUCCUCCUGCCUCUGCCUCUCAAAUUCUGAAAUCAAAGGCAUACACCACUACUUCCAGCCUGAGAAGUUCUUUAAAACAGGUAAAUAUCUCUUAGUCUUGUAUUAGUGAAUCAAUGUUAUCUCUUACAGGAACUGAGGUAGAAGAGCCAUUUGGAGAUCCUGAGGUAACCUAAGGAUAGCUUCAAUCACUUCACCACAGUGGUUUCCUGUGGUAAGCUCAGAGUGUCUCAAGAGAGAAGUGUGGAGUGUAGCCAGGCACCACAUGGUUCAGAAGAACUUGUUAAAAAUUCACGCCACCAGCUGCCCUUGUGAUGUGAAGGCUGCCAUUAUCCCAGGAAGCUAACACUGCACUAGAAUUGGGAAAGGGGAUCUUAUGGUCUCUGCUCCAAGCAACCUCUACUUCCCACUGGUUCAAACCAGUUCACAUGUUCACUGCUAGACAAUCAUUGCCAAAGAACUAGCUCUAUUUUAAUUCGUCAAUAAAGCACGGGGGUCUGGGAGCUUUGGUACAGAACAGUUCAGAACUUUGCGGUGGGCCCUGGAGGGAGGGAGAGUCUGCACACGCUUCAGGAACCAGGCCUAGCUUCGGAGAAGUCAAAUGUGUAGCUUUCCUCAAAGCCAGGCCGAAAGCCAUCCCCAACCCCGACGCCUGUGGCUGUGCCUGCCCCAGGUGGUGUUCCUGUGCCUGCUCACGACCCGCCUGCAAAACCGUGGCAAGGCUUUGCACAUUAUUCCAGGUUGAGAAUUCGAGCCUCUUGUACCUUAGAGCAAAACUAAAAGCUGUCAGACUGCAACUCCCGAAGACAACGCCCAGAGCAGCCUCGGGCGUGCCGAUUGGUCCGCGGUGUAUCUAUCAGGACUCAGUAACCAAUCACAAGGAAUGAGAGGAGGGCGCGCCUCCCACCGACCAAGGGUUGCAGAAGUGUGGCAUAUCUUAAACAAACGACCUUUGGGACUGACUUUGUGAACGGAGAAGCGACAAGCCAGUCCCGGCUUGCGAGGCGUCGACCUGUGGCGGGUGAAAGAAUUCCCCGCACCUCAGGCCGUAGGAGACUCGGGUUUCGGCUACUCCUGCCUGCAGCCCCUCUGUGAGGCACAGUCUGUUCUUCAGGCUACGCCCCACGCCUCCUUAUUGGCUUCUCCAGACACGUGGUCGAGUGGUUCCCGCCUCCGGGUGCCCUGAGAGGCGGUUCGCUAAGCCGCAUGGACAGCCUGGCGCCGGGCCGAUGGAGACGGCGGAGGACGGAGGAGCUGCCAGCGGCAGGGGACGCGAAACGGGUGUGCAGGAGGUCAGAAGCAGGUGGACUUGAGUGCAGUGGCCACCUACUAACCACCUGUGCCCUGCUGUCCUGGAGCACAGAGGACCAGGAGCCAAGGCCACUCGUCCUGCCUGCACCACAACCAGAGUGUAGCCAGGAGAGGCUGAGCUCAAUGAUUCUGCAGAACGGUGGAAGGGGUUCAGCCCAGCCUUGCCUGAGAUGUAUCGCGGGGGAAUCUGUAAGUGUCACCUCACUGAGGCACGAGUGAGAGAGUUCUUAAACAUCACAUCUGCAAAGCAGUCAAUAAGAUCUGUAAUUACAUACAUGAGAAAUGGCACAUGUAAAUAAAGCUAAAGGGCCAUUUUAACCAUACCAGCAAUCAUUAGAAGAUGCAAACGGGACAAAGGAAGAUUCCAGUUGAGUUUGAAUCCUCACAUGAUGGCCAGUGCACAUCCCGUACAUCUUGCUUGGAUGCCCACCUAUUCAAAUGAUAG